AGAGUGGGACAGGCGGCCGCUCGAAGCCGCGCGAGCCCCAAAAGGGAACGCUCGAUCUUCGGGAGGAAAGUCCGAACUGGACAGGGCACGGUGAUGGCUAACGGCCACCGGCAGCAAUGCCAGGGAAAGUGCCACAGAAAAGACACCGCCCAAGGCCGACGAUCGGGGUGCCAUCGGAGCAAUUCCUGCUCCUUUGGCUCAUGCGAGAGUCGGUCCGGCAAGGGUGAAAUGGUGCGGUAAGAGCGCACCGCACGUCCGGUGACGGGCGUGGCAGGGUAAACCCCACCGCCAGCAAGCCCACGUAAGCAGUGAGGAGAUUUCGGCGCACCCGGACCUCUGGGACCCAGGCGUCGAUGGUCUCGCGGAACGGCCCGUUCCGUGCGAUGGCUGACUUGGCUCCUCCUCGUCAGUUGCGCGUCAUUGCGGGUAGGGUGCUAGAGCCGAUGGGUAACCGUCGGCCCAGAGAAAUGGUCGCCGCCCGGUGUUUUGGCCUUCGCGGCCCAUCCACGGGGCACAGAAUUCGGCUUACGGACCACUCUGCUG
rnacentral:RNase_P_RNA from 1 species